AAAACCCCAAGAAGCGGAAAAACAGUAAGAAUCCACAUGAUAGCAGUGGAAUCAACAGAUUAAUUAAUUUACUACCAGCACUGAUAUUUUUGACUUCAUCAUCUUCAUGUGCACAAGAAAACGAGCUCAAAUUAAACAAAUAUAUAUAAAAUCCUCGAAAUUAUCAUAUCCUUAAACACCGGCUUGUUUAAUUAAGUACUGCAAAAAUAUUCGAAAACAGAGAAUAAGGAAUCCGCUAGGAACCAGCGGAGUCCUCCCAUUUUUCCAUAGCAUGCAGAAAAAUCAUACCCUUUAAUUAGAUUAAAGGAAAUAGUUAAAGCGAAGAACCAAUAAUGGACGCGCCAGAAUCAAUUCUAAAGAUUUUUUUUAUUUAUAUUUUUCAUACAAAUUAACAUAGGAAAAACAAAUCGAUAAUCUUCCAUAUCGUUCGUAGCAUUAAAUAACAAAAAAUGUACUUAAACAAGAUACACAGCAGUAAUCUCUAUUAUUUGAGAAUCUAAUUACGUGAAUAAUUAAUACGAGUUGGCAUCCCAGAAAUUCAAGAAAUCAAUCUUGCAAAAUUUGCUGAAUCUUACGUGUAAACCAUCGAUGAUCAAAACAACUAGUGACAAACCAUGUGGAUUCCAGGGGCCAGGAUUGAGUAUCUCAGGUUUAUUAUAGGGGACAUAUGCAGUGCAGAAUAUUGCUUUGUAAACAAAUAUAACAAGGGAAGCAACCGGAUUCGGCUGGCUGCUUGCUUUUUUAUCAUGGAAAAAAGUAAGUUAAUUGGGUACAGGCAUUUCAAUAAAAUGAAGAUGGCAAGACUAGAGAUGCACAAAAAAUAAUGACAAUGCUGGGACAAAUUAAUCCGGGAUUGAUGAUCAUUAAUGUAGAAGCAAGCUUUUAGAGAUUCUUAACAGUGGAGUGCAACAUGGAGUUCCAUUCCCAGUCUAUACAACCUUACCUUAAUGUCAACAACAAAAGACAAUUAAUUAAUUAAUGCGGAUUGUCGCCGGCCUGAUGAAUGGGAGACGCGAAAGCUUAAACAUGGACAUCGGAACAAAACUGACAAUUAAUUUGGCACUUUAUUUGGCAGCUGCAAAUAAUUGUAUUGUUCAAUAACAACAAAUCAAAAACAGUAACUACACCACUGGGACUGAAGAUCCAAGUAAUUCAUAACCUUACAGAUCAUGCUACAGAGAAAACAAAUUGACAAAUUCUCAACAAAUCUCAGUUAAAAGUGUAAUCAGAUCUACUUAGAAUUUUCUUUUAAUUCCUCUUCCUGUAAACACACAUAAACUUAAAAUAAAACAUCGUGCAGUAUAAGAAAGCACAAAGAUACACACACACACACAUAUAUAUGUAUGUAUGUAUGUAUUUAUAUAUGUAAGAAUCAAAAGAAAUAACAAACACUCGUAAUUAGUGUAAAAUUAUCAUUUGCAUUAACUAUAUAUAGAAAGGAAAACAGUUCAAUAUAUUGUAAAGUUGGAAGAAAUAGCGACAUAAUUAUCCUCAUAACUAAUAACAUGAAAAUUGAAGUUCUCAUGUAUACAUACAUACUGUAUUUAAUUGUUGAUGAUCAGAUUCUUCACAUGGACAUGGUGAAUGGCUGAUGAUGAAAACUUGUUGCAGCUCUUCCUAGCUUCUUUAGAUUCUAAAGAAGUUGAACGAAGGAUAUUAUUGUUAAACCAGAAGAAGGGUAGUUUAUGAUGAAAAAUCUAAAUAUGAAAUUGAGUAAAAAGCUAUGACUACAAUUGCCUGGCUCCAUCCUGUCUGCCUUUCUUUUUCUAUCUGUGAAGGAAUGUUGUUCAGGGAGAAAGAGUUACAUUGUUUUCAUCACUACCCCUUAUAAUUCAGUACUUAUCUACCCAAAAUGACCUUUUGAGUACACAAGUAAAUGCCAAGUCCCCGGUAAGGGUAGUUUGGCCAUUGCAUCUUACAAGUAAAAUGGGUGGUUGAGAAAGAUGAGAAGUGCUUGUCCUCUAAGGCAAACCCCACCAACAAAUCCUUUCUCUUUAUUAAUUAAUUCCUCUCCCUCAAAUUUGAGAGAGAAACUAUGAGAGAGGAGGAAGAAGAAUA
rnacentral:lncRNA from 1 species